rnacentral:tRNA from 1 species
GCCGCGGUGGUGGAAUUGGUAGACACGUUGGACUUAAAAUCCAAUGGGUGUUUAAAUGCCCGUGCCGGUUCGAGUCCGGCCCGCGGUACUA